CUUCGAUCUGUGCAGCGAGUUACAUCGCGGACAAUGCAUUCCUGAUAAGUUAUUACCUCUCGUCGUUUGGUCACGCAAGAUGAGACAGAAGAGCAGGUGUUGAACUGCAAUCAAGACUUGAAAACGACGUUUGGGAGCCGAUGCAAGAGAGGCAUUUGGGAGCCAGUGCAAGAGAGGCGAUGCACCCCUCCAUCCUCCUGUUGCUCCUCUGACGCGACUUGCCCGCCAAGUUGUACUAGCUGUCAAGGCCCGUGGAACAAUGACGCCUUUGCAUGUUACUUCUUACCGAUGCGUUGUUUACCGUGCACGGACCCUAGCAGUUGGUUAUCAUAGGAUGGUGCGAUUGUGUGCUUUUCGUGACGUCACUGCGAUGACGGGUUUUCAUUUUACUUUGAUCCCCAACAGAAUGCGGGCAAAAGUAGCCCACUUGGUUUGGGAACGACACUUGCCUCUGCAUUUGAACUGUUAACGCCCCUAAAUUGCUAGAGACGUCACUGGAACAGCGGUAGCCCGCUUUAUUGCUGGCUGCUGUUCGCUGUAUGCGAUACGUUUGCCCUUAUUUGGUGCUCUCAGAGUUUGCACUGUGACAUGGAAUUCUGUUAGUUCAGGCUCGCAUCAAUUGCUUGUUUGCUGGCAUCAUUUUCGUUAUUAAUCUACCUAUUUUGCAGGCUGAAAUUCUUACCCAUGCCUCAGUAACAGUGGCAUUGAUUUCACAGUGCACUUCAAGCUUUGCUUGGGAGUACUUUAAGUAUUCACAUAGUGUCUAUGAUACAAGUAUUUGUUGUUACACGUGAGUGCUGUUGAUGGCCAAUUCAGUGCUUUUACUUGCUUAAGUGCUUUUGCACCAUUGGAAUGCAUGGUUUUCUAGUAGUUAUAAAACAUUAAAACUUCAGGAGAACUUAAAAUAUUUUAGUUGCUGGUGAAUACUAGUGUAAAGUAUUCAAAGAGCUAAUCUGAUCUUGAAUUAGUGUAGGUGAGAUAUGGCAAUGCCCUCAUUUAUGCUUUUUGGUGUGUCAUUUUGUAUGCAUGCAAGUGCUACUCCUCUGUGCACCUAUUGUUUCUUUGUAACAGAUUAUUCAGUAUGUGGCUCUCUAGGGCAUUGUACACAAGGCAGGGAUCCAGUACCACUUACUGUUUCCUGUGUGCGUUGUUGCUUCAAUUAUCCAGUUACCCUUCUCCCUUGUUUGCCUUGAAGCAAUUUUAUUCUUAGUAAAGGCUAAGCAUUGUAUUGUUCAUUGCACUCUUGAAAGACCAUGAGUGCUGUUUAGAAGUUUUGAAACUUUUGGUUGUGUUCAUAGGCAGUGUGCUUAAGUAUGUACUAAUGUCCAAAUAGAUAUGGCUCAUUAUUGUUUUGCAUAUAAGUUGAACUGGGAGGACUAGGCAAUAUAUUGCAUGUGUUCAUUGUAAAUUAUUGCGAUGUAAGGCACUGUGUAGCUCAGAGAUGUUAAUGCUUGUGCAGUUUUGCAAUUUUGACAACUGCUGUAAUUGCGUAACUUGGUUUACCUUACUGAGCAUGCCUUUCAGCAUUCUUCAUUGUAAGAUGAAUUUAGCAUUUGUAGUUGCAGCGUUCUGUCAGAAAGAUUGAAGGCAGUUUAUCAGACACUUUUUUAAUAGCCUUGCAUCCACACAGAAUACCUUUGAGUGUGUGAAUAGUGGUUUAAGCAGCUUUGAUACUUUUUAAUUGUUAAACAGUGCAAUGUUAUCAACUCGUUGCCAUAGUUUUAAAUGUAAAAAAAAAAUGGUAGAAAGGAGAGUUGCACCAAUGCAGUCUUCCUCACAACCACCAUAGUUGUCAUUUUGCUCAUUCACUAAAAUGAGACGUCUUCCACACCACAUCUGUGGCACUUGCUCCAGCUAUGACACUCGUGUUGCACUGCGGUUUCCGUAACGCCUGCAUUCAGCUCUGCUUGCUUUAUUCAGUAUUGCAAUUGUUGAUAUCAAUCACUUUAUGUAUCGACAUCAUAAAACCCUACCUUGUAAGGUUUUUGCAUGUUCAUGGGCAAAUAUUUUCAAUAUUGAGGCACGUGAAAAGUGUAGGUUUGGAAUUGAAAGUUUGUAUACUGCAUUUAGCAAGUUGACAGUAUGUAAGCAAGGUGCGUGGGGUCUGCACGGGUGUAUUAUGACGGCCAUUUUCUGAACACGCACAGGCAUUGGCUUUAUUAUUCUAAUAUGAGAUUGUUGACCCAGGUUGUUAUUGCAGGUUUAGCAGCUACUUUCACUGCAGUAUUGGAACACCCUGGCCACUACUAUAUGACAUGCUAAGCAGAGUGGUGCAUAGCAGUGUUUGCUGCCUUUCCUGGUUUGUAGGCCCAAACUCAAAGCAAAAAUGCAACUUCAGUAAAUUACAUGUGAGCCUUAAUGUGGAAGUGGUUUCUGUGAAAUUAGUAGUUUUGUCACUCCUGAGGCAAUUUUGAUGCGAUCUCCCGCUUUUGGUAAAUUUUAUUUGCUUCUUUUUCGCUAUGAGGGAUGUAAUUGUUAAGUGCAAAGUUAUUUGUAGAUAGUUUAGAACUACUUGCAGUCAUUAAUUUUGCUUCAAUUUCUAGCGUUCCUAGCAUUUACUCCUGCUAUCAAGGCACUAUCUCGCUGCAUGUUCAUGCAGGCAGUGCGGUGCUUUGUACUUAGUAUGUAUUGGAGAGAUGUAGUAACAUCCUGCUCAUCUUUGGAGGUUACAGCAUGUCAUAUCUGAUGCACAGCUUUUUAAAUCUUGCAAUUUGCACAUUCUUUGAACAUGAAAUCAAUUCUGCUUGGUGCAGUAUCUAGUUUUUGUGUGGUGGAUGGCAUAGGUUUAACCUUUGAUGGAUGUGACAAAAAGAUAAUUUAAUUUCAGUAGUGUCUAAAGCAUUGCAAAUGAAUUUUCAUCAGGUAUGGUUAAUAAAAAAUCAAAUUGUACAGCCAAGAAACACCUGACAUUGUAGAAAAAAAGUAGAAUUUACGCGCACCACUAUGCACAUAGGUCAUUUACAUCAGUGGCAAGUACAUGUACUCGUUGCCAUUUCUACCAUCUCAUGGCCACCUGUAAAAUUAUCAAAGUGCCUGUGUACACUAGUACACGCAAGGCAGUGAAUGCAUAUUUUGUAGGUGUCUGUUGAGUUUAUUGAGCACUCUUUGUGCCAGAAUUGUAUCAAAUGAUUUCGGAUAAAUGCUAGGGAAGCAUUCAAGGCCAUCCAUUUCUCAUAACACUGAUGUGCGGAUAGGCUAAUGAAUUGAUCUAUUAUUGGUGGAAGUAGUUAUGGCAAAUUGGGAUCCCUGACUGUGUCCCCAAAUCGGGAAAGCACACAGCUGUCGUGAAUACAUUUAGAAUAUUUUCGAUAUAUAUAUAUUAAAAUAUGGGCUUGGACUUUCCCUGUGUUUUUACUCUAGUGCACAAUAGAAAUUUCACUCAAAAGAGAGACUUCAAAAAGGGUAUUAAUGCGAUCUAGUUGGUACGAAUCUGUGGGUGAAAACUGAGCAAAAUAAACACUGAUAAGGGAGGAACACAGGUUACAUCCAGUGUUCCUCCCUUGUCCGUGUUUAUUUUGCGCUGUUUUCACCCAUAGAGAGACUUCAUUGAUCUGUGCGGUGACUUUUUAAUGUGGCAGAUUUCUUUCAAAAUAAUAAUAAAGAGGGGAAAGGAAAAAGAAGCCAAUAGAAAAAAAAAGUAUACAGCCACUGCAA